UACGGAGGGGGCUAGCGUUGUUCGGAAUUACUGGGCGUAAAGCGCGCGUAGGCGGACCUGCAAGUCGGGGGUGAAAGCCCGAGGCUCAACCUCGGAACUGCCUUCGAUACUGCGGGUCUCGAGUCCGGGAGAGGUGAGUGGAAUUCCCAGUGUAGAGGUGAAAUUCGUAGAUAUUGGGAAGAACACCGGUGGCGAAGGCGGCUCACUGGCCCGUAACUGACGCUCAUGCACGACAGCGUGGGGAUCAAACAGG
rnacentral:rRNA from 1 species